GGACAACGAGUGCCAGCGGCCGGGGUAGGACAGAGGGGUCAAACGUUGUUCGGAAUUACUGGGGGUAAAGCGCGUGUAGGCAGCCCUGCAAGUCGGAUGUGAAAGCCCUGGGCUCAACCUAGGAAGGGCAUUCGAAACUGCGGGGCUGGAGGCCUGGAGAGGAAGGCGGAAUUCUCGGUGUAGAGGUGAAAUUCGUAGAUAUCGGGAGGAACACCGGUGGCGAAGGCGGCCUUCUGGACAGUGACUGACGCUGAGACGCGAAAGCGUGGGGAGCAAACAGGAUUAGAUACCCGAGUAGUC
rnacentral:rRNA from 1 species